AGCCAGUAAAGAUUAAAUGUGCUUUCUCAAAGGCAGCCACUUCAUGCUGCUAUGUCGAAAGGGCUAUUAUUAUUAUUAAUACGAGAGAGAAAGAGAGAGAGAGAGAGAGAGAGAGAGAGAGAGAGAGAGAGAGAGAGAGAGAGAGAAAGAUUAGGUAUGGUGAUGACGGUCUAGCUUUUUGGAGAGCAAAAGGGAGAGAAAAAAGGAGAGACCAUGAGCUGAACCAAGGACUGUGCAUGAGCUGGACCAAGGACUGUGCAUGAGCUGAACCUACAGAGUCUGCAACAGAAAGCGCCGCUUCCAGGCAGAGGAGGUUCGAGAAAGCGACUCUAUCAGGUACAGCACUAGUAGCCGUCUGUGAAGAUGGAGGGGGAUUACGCCUCGGAUUCCUCUGAAAUAUUGGCCAAAGGCUUCAAAGGAUCCGCAGCGGGAGGCGAGGGUGGGGGAGCAUCUCCCCAGCUCGCACCCACCCCUUCCCACUUUGCGUCUACCAAAUGACAGGCUGGUGCUCGCUCUGGGUGAUUUUGGCCUUGGCCUCAGCCAAGCAGCUGAUGCAGAGGAGGGCCAGCUUUGCGAGACUGACAGAACUCUGAAUGCUAAAGAAAGAAGAAGAAAAAGAAAAAGAAUUUUUUUUUCUCCGAGCAGUCCUUGGGAGAUUUUUUCUCGUUCUCUCUCGAUUUAUUUAUUUAUUUCUAAUUUUUUUUUAACCGACUAUUUUCCAAAUUCGAUCAGCCCCAGCCCCUCCCUCCACUCCCACCCAACAGCCUUCCCCCCAGCCCCCACCCCCCGGUCAAAGCAUAAACCACAGAGUUACAGUCUUCUCUGGAUUUUGGAGUAUCGCUUCCUGCCCCCGCCUUCCCUCCCCGCCCCAUUCUCUGUCCUAUUGAACACCUCGCCCAGCCUAGAGCUCACAUUCUCCCCCGGCUCCGGAUGGCGCUCCUGGAAGCUCUGCAGCUAGGCUCCACUUCAAAUGGCUGGUCCUAUAGCCCCCUUUCUCAGUAAUGUCUCCCCAGUGAAAGGAAAAAGACUGCAGAAGCUUCUGAUGGACGCUCAUGCCAACUGUGAAGUUGAAACAAAGCAAGUAACCAGCUGAAGAGGCCCCUCCUGCCCAGCAGCCACCCACAUGGUGCAGUUGCAGCCAGUAGUAAUCUUUGCAAGAAACAGAGAAACCCAGAACAUUCAGAAGUCAAAAACACCCCCUUCCUUGUGUGUAUCCCUCUGUCUGCGUUCAGGUUGAUGUGCCUUCCAUUUUGAUCCUGGCAUGAAUAUGCUUGUUACUGUACAAGUAUAAAGGUAACUUUGCCCAAAUGUGUUAAUGUAUGAAGAGACUGAAUUGGGGGGAGGGGAGUUAUUUUUAUCAAAACACAGUGUUUGUUCUUGAGAGUGAUCUAGAAAAUGAAAAGCAGUUUGAAAAGACAGCAAAACAGUCACAGGCGAUCCACAGAGAUGCUCAUACCGUCACACAAAAACACCACAUCAUGCCCCCCCCCCAGACUCUGAGCAGGAAACUUGGCUCUGUGACAUACUGUGGCUGCUGCCAAGGGUCAACAUCAAGCCAGACAAAGGUGCAGAAGCUACCUAAAGUGUAGUGAUAAACCGAGUCAGGAGACAAUAAGAACAGUAACCACUCAAAGACAAUGCUCUUGGAGGUUUCCAAGUGGGUUUGCUUAAGAAAGGAUACUCCCUUAAAGAGAGAAUAGGAAAUAAACCUUUAAAGGAUGUAAAAACAAAAUUAGAUAAACUGGAAGAUAGGAGAAAAUAGAGUCCUUAAUGCAAACCUAAGAGUAAGCAAUGGAAUGGUAGAGGAGAUCCACAUGGUAAGUUUUGGAGACUACACAUAUCCCAUCUUGAUUUCGCCUGACACUUGGAACCCCUGUCCGCGUGUCUAGUAGAGAUGCUGCACACAGGUAUCUCUCCUCUCCCACCCCAGAUGUCACCUCAACUGAACUAGAACUAAAGUUCCAGUUCUGUGUCACUACAAAGAUUGGUUGGUGGUUUCUGAGUAGAAUUCGUGACUCUUCUGUUCGUAAUUGCUUGUUACCAAGUUUAUUCCAUACAGGAAAUGUUUUGCACAUUAAAUCUCAUAGUUGCUAUGAAAACUACACAUCACCCACAUUUCACAGGUGAAGAAACUGAUUUUGGUGAGGUUGAGUGCCUGGCCAAGGCACUACAUGCAGCUAUGCACAUUCAAGGUUGUGGUCAUGAAACUCAGUCCCUAGUCUGACUUUUGUGAAGAGUUCCAACACAGUUGUCACCUUUUCCAUGGGCCUUAAUGCCUGUCUUUAGAAACACAUGGCUCUUCUGCUGACUUAUGGCCACAGUAUUUCCUACUUUCAUGUUGAAUUAUACCAAAAUGAUAAAAUGUAUUUUCAUGGAAGAAAAUUGAGAAUUUAGUGAAAUACACUACCUGCCAGGAGUUUGUACGUUUCGUCUUGAUUUUGGUCUGAUAGGAGACUUUUGAUUUAGUUUUGCAUGAAAUCUCAAAGUUUUAAGAGCAGUAAGGAUAGGGCCUUAAGUUACCUGUUAUAGUACUUUUUGACAGAAGAUGCAAAUCUACAGCCUGUAAUCAGAGUGACAAACAAACAACAAAAAAGACACCCCCUCCCCACAAAAACUCAAAUCAAACCAACCAAACAAACAAACAAUGAAAUAAACAAAACUGCCCACUUACAUGGAAAUGUCCUAACAAAGACCAGAAACUAAGCCCUCAGUUAUUUUUCAAUGGCUUUUAAAUUAUUCCACCCUGUCCUAAAGAAACAUGAACUUGUAUUUGACUAAAGGCACUAAUGUUGCAUAGAUUUGAUCUAGUAAAAUCUAGCUCCUUCCCUCCUUGGUACUCAUGUCCAUGUUAAAUACAGCUGUGAACUAGUGUAUUUAUGUCAAGAAGUUGUCAAUGAUCUGUCCCCAAAGAACACAGAAUAGCCAAUGUUGUAUAUAUACUCCAUCUUUAAUCCAACCAUGAAGUCAUUAGUUCACCUGCACCAAUCCAAUCCAUUGUGCAUCUUCUCAACCAACCUGACCUAUGGCAAUCAUUUGCAAGUGCUAUAAAUGUUUAUCUAUGACUGUUCCAGAAAUAGUUAAGUAUUAACAAAUACCACUAGUCAUUUGGUGAUGUAAUCCUUGUUUAUCUGUGUAACUAAUUCAAAAAGACUUUGGCCAUAAAACCCUAGAACUAAAAACCCCAUUCUUGGCUUUCAGCCACUCUACAAUUGAUUGACAUUUAACAGUGAUUAAUAAAUUGUCCAUCUAAAUAACAUAGAUGUCCAAAUUGUGAUUUUUUUUUUUGCCUUGAAUGAGACAGUUAAGCUGGGUAGGCUAAGGGACAGAUGUCUAACUUUUUGAGGUACCUGGAUAUUUAACUGAUGUAAAUUUCUACUUAGCUGUUUGACAUUGUCAUAUGUAGUCCUGGUCAUGGCUCUGACUGUUCUGUUUUUUCAAAAUGCUUGUUGGCUCUGUCUUACACUGUUCUCACUGAUCUCAUAAAUAAACAGGUUUGCUGUUAAAGAGUAGCCCAAGCACAAAGUGUGAUGUUGUUGACAUUUUACAAGACUUUCCUUGGUCCCUGACUCCCAAUAAAAGAAGUGUUGCAUUGACUGUGAA
ensembl:processed_transcript Mir100hg Mir100 Mirlet7a-2 Mir125b-1 cluster host gene